UCUCUAAAAAUAAAUAAAUACAAUAUUAAAAAUAAUAAAAACAAUAAUUUCUUAUUUCUAAUGAUUUUUUGGAUUGGCCAGAUAGUUCUUGGGCUUGUUUUACCUGGGUCGACUCUUCUUUUAUGUUUAGUAGGAAAGGUGACUGAGCCAAAUGGUCAAGGUGUUUUUUUUUACUGUCUGGCCAUUGGUCCUGGCUGUCCACUGGGGUUAUCUUGGUUCUUGUCCACAUGGUGUCUUUACGUUCAUUAGGGCUAGACUGGCUGGCUCUCUUACUUGAUGGUGUCAGGGCAGCAUUGGAGAAUAGUGAAGGUAGAAGCAAGGUCACUUGAGGCCCAUGCUAUGGCAAUCACGCUGUCACCUUUUCCACAUUUUAUUGGUCAAAGGAAGUCCCAGGUCAGCCAAAAUUCAAAGGGUGAAGAAACAGACUCCACUUCUUGAUGGUAUUUGCUGUAGAGAAUUUGGUCUGCCAAGCCAUUCCUCUGGAUCUUUCCAUAUGUCCCCUUUCACUGCCUAUUCCAGCCACUAAAUUUUUUCAGUUUCUUAAAUUCAGCUUGUUUUUCAGCUUUUGGCCUGACAAUAAGUAUUUCUUACCACCUGGAAUAUUCUUUCUCACCUAUUUUUUCCAGCUAACUGCUACACAUACUAAAGAUCUCAGCUUCAUUGUCACUUAAUGAGGGAGCUCUUGCUUGCCCAUGCCCUAGGUUUAUGGAAAUAUAAUCCCUCUUCUAUGAUCUAAUAAUUCCCUUUGCUUUCCUUGUCAUAAUGUCACUCAUCACUCUUUUAAGAGAAUAGUAAUAAUACUACUACUAAUAAUAACUAUUAUUAUUAUAUUUUUAAUCUUUUCCUGAUAAACUUUAAACUGUAGGAGGCAGGACUGGCAUCUAUCUUGUUCUUAUUGUGUGUGUAGUAUCCAGCCCAGUGACUGGCUUAUAAUGGUUGAUGUGAAAGAAAUACUUGUAGAAUGCAGAUCAAAUUGGGGCAGAUUCAUUAUUGGCAUUUGCUCUCAAGAUGAUCUUGAUGUUCCCUUUUGGAAUAUCUCAUUCUGUCUCCGCCAUCCCCCUUUAUCCCUUUCUGCUCAAAGAAAUAGCCUAGUAGAAGAGGACUUGGUGAUGUAAUUAGGUCAGAAGCCUUUCUCUUAGACUUAUUAAGCCGUUAGACCUGUUAAAUCACUUGCUAAUAUCAAAUGACUUCAGAAAAAAUCUUAUUUGUAGUCUAUAAAAUAGGUGGUUACAGAUACUAAUUUAAGAAAGACUUUCCCUUAGCUCAUCCACCCUAUUAUUUCCUCCUUUUCUGCACCUAUAUUGCAUUUAGAGUCAGCUUGUCACCCUAAUUGCUCUCUAAUUAUUCCAUGUGCAAGUCUCAGCUUCUCACCUAGAUUUAACUCUUUGAAGAAAAAGGAAUAUGUUUUAUACAUCAUUUAUUUCUUUCUUCACAGUGAAUACCAUCAUAAUUAGUUAGUAAACACUGGCUCAUCCAAGAUUGCUCUUCCUUCUUUUUUUACUCCAAACACUGCAUUUAGUGUUUUAUUUCAGAGUCUCAAUGAGUAUAUAUUCCAGUCUACUUGGUUGUGGUAGCCAGCCCUCAGAGCUCUCCACCCCCACCCCCAACACUUCUCACUUCUUGUAUUCAUGCCUUGUAUAGUUCAUUCUCACACUGAAGAGGACUGAUUUUUUUAAAUAAAACUGCAUCUUCUUUAUUUUGCAUACUUUAAUUUCAAAGCAAAUAAAAAAUAACAACAAAAAUCUCCACAAUAUAAGAGGAUGGACAUUUGAGCCAAUAAAAUGUGGUGGAAAUGACAGCAUGUCACUCCCAAGGUUAGGUUAUUAGAGGUAUUUUGGCUUCUGCUUUGCUCUUUUGGAUCACUUGCUCUGGGGUAAGCCACAGGAUGAAGUUUCCACAGGAUGAGGAUGUGAAAGCAGCCUUUUGGACUUGUCCACAUCGUGAGGAGCCCGGGUCUCUUGCCAACAGCUAUAUUAUGAGCUUCUGAAAGGCAGAUCCUCUAGCAUCGAUGAAGCCUUCAGAUGACUGUAGCUCUGGCCAGCGUCUUGACUUAAUGACAUGAGAGCCCCUGAGCCAGAACCAUCAUGCUGCACUCCUCCCAAGUUCUUGACCCACAGAAACUGUGUGAGAUAGUAAAGUGAGAUUGUUGUUUUAGGCUACUGCAUUUUGGAGUAAUUUGUUACACAGCAAUAGAGAACUAAUAUGUCAGCCAUUUUGCAUUCUCUGUGGACUCUUAAGAAAAGAAGUUAGCCUUUGUCUGCAACUGGAUUGGUUGAGGUUAGCCCUGGAAAAGGUCCUUCAGCCAUGGUAUUUACACAAUAAUUAUGGAGAGAAGUGUGACUAUAAUCUUUCCUGGAUGCCCAAUUUUCAAUGGGACAUUUAGUCAGAUGCUACUUAGAGACAGGUAGGAUGGUCUCAUCUCUCAUGUUAUUCCUACAUCAUAAGAUUAAAACUUUGAAAAGAUAGAAUUGUUAAGUAAAUGAAGCUGCUCUAGGACAGUAGAGAAUAAUGCUUUAUCUAUAGUUAAUUAUGAAUCAUCUUUGGUUUUAAUAGCAUGCAUGUGAAGGAAGGAGAAUUUAUUAUAUAGAAAGAGGAAUGGCUCAUGAAACUCAAGGGUAAGGAUGGAGUAGGGCCUCAUGAAGGUUCUGGAACUGGAAUAGAAAGUUGUGAGGACUCUACUUUAUCUCCUCUUUGCCUUACAUGUAUUUCUCUCUAGAUCUUUGAUUUUCCAUCUUCAAGGUGGAAUUUGGAAGCACCACAGCUUAUUAUUAUGCACAGCCUCCUAACUUAUUAUGUGACAGUUUUAGUCACACAGAGGUUUGUGUUCUAGUUUUCCCCAAAGAAUUUGGUGGCUCCUAAGCCAGAUGGUCAUUACUGAGCCAGUCAGCCAUUGCCUGUGGGGGUAUGUAGAGAUGGGAGGGUGUUGGGGUUGAGGGAUGGGCUACCAGGAGCACAUUCCUGUUGAUGGAAUGUGUGUGUUGAGGGGAAGAUGGUAAAGGUGAUAAAGUUCUAAAGAAGGAGCCUAGGGGACAGACAAGCACUUGAAAAGGUAUCUGCUACCUUUUCAAGAGGAGAGAACUUGGUUUAGAAAACAUGAUGUACCAUCUCAGCUUUAUAAAGCAGCAGAUCCUCAACCUAUUGUUAUGCAAAGCAGUGACCACUGAGAAAGCCUAUCCUUUUCCCCCACUUCCUCCUUCCUACUUAGAUCCUGGGUUUAUACCUUUUACAACCAAGAGCUUUAGUAUUUGGGGGUAAAAUAAUACUACAUACCCUAAAAGCCAAAAUCAAAGGCUAUACUGAUAAUGUACUUUUAUGAUAUUUAUAAGGGAAGUCAGUGUUGUUGGCUAGUCAAAACUGUCACCUGUAAAUAUGCAUUUGAAAGAGUAGAGGGAAUAAGAACAGAUAUUGUUCUGGUCUUUGUGAACUUAAGCAUCUCUUGGAGUUUGGGCUGAAUACGUGAGACAGUUCUGAUGUGUUUAUUUGCCACAUAGGACUUAGGGUCAAGAUAUCUGAAAUACUUCCUCAUGAACAAUACAACAAAGUAAUUUCAGUACAGCAUAAUUCCAUAGGUCUCUGUCAAGGCCUUCUUUGCAUUCUUUUAAGCAGAACAGAAGAGAAGAUGAGCAAGAAAAUGUUGUAUAGAUUAGAUGUAAAAUGUAUAAGUUUUGAAGUGUUUUUUGCUGAAAAAUAAGCAUAAUGAAAGCUUUUGAAGUGUUUGUAAAUAUUUCUUUCCACAAACAGGUAAUUUAAUGAGGUUCCAAAAUACUCGGAUUCCCAAUAUCUUAAUUUAUUUCUGUGGUUUAUUUUCUGCAAUAUUUGGCAACUCCAAGCUUCAAUGAAGUCUUUUUAUAUGUGUUAUAUGUGAUGGUAUUCCAGUGGGGAGAGUAUAUUUUAAAACACAUGGUUUAAUUUCUGUCAUAAGGCUUUUCAAUGACUGUAUGUAUAUCUAUGCUAAUUAUAGGGCUAUGAAAAGUCAAUUGUAAGAAAAUACAUGUGGAGAUUUUCACUGUGCUGGAACCCAAAAUUGUGUGUAAAUUCACACAUAAUAGCAGGUUUCCCUCUGCCCUGGGAAUAAUGUGUAAGUUUUUACCCUGUAAUAUAACUUGAAAAGAAGUUGAAGAAAACAUAAGAAUGGAAGUGGUGUUUUGAUAAAUACAUUUGCCCAUUUCCUUUGUGUAAAUACUCCCACAAAGGCCAAUAUGAAGUGACUAAUGUACAAGCACAGAACACAGAGCUGGGUAGAUGCAUACAGUUGGCUCUUUGGUGUUAAUGCAGGUGGCUCCUGCCACCAUUGAGUUCCAUACUCAGUAAAGUAUGAUGACUGAUAAUAUAAUAACCAUAAAUGAGGGUGGAUAAUGGUUCAUUGGGAUUAGGAGUUUUAAAAGCUCUUUUACACACAUUAUUUAAGGAGCACGGUCUGAAAUAAGUACUGUUACUAGACCCAGCCUUUAUUUCUAAGUGCUUGGAUUCUCAUUCUCGUUAGUCAUCUCGAUAAGAUCUGAGGUUAUCCAAAAACUCAGAGUGAAGUUGGUUCUCAGUGGCAUGUGUGAGAUUCAGACCCGAGUCUUUCUGAUUCUAGGGUCUACAUUUGUAAUUAUUAUAAAAUAUAAAUAAUUAUUUAAAUGUUUAAAAGUUGAUUGCAUUUCCCAUAAGCUUUCUCUUUUCCAGUUGUAAAUAUCCACAGUUCUUAUUAAAUAACUCACUAAUUUAUUCAGAUACUCACAAUGAGCAUCUGUUAGGUGUCAGUUGUUGUUCUCUGUGCUAGGGGUGUGUCAGGGACCGAAACAGUAAAAUAUCCUCAUCUUGGCGGGGUCAGCCAGACAACAAAUUCAUGUAAAAGUAAUGAAUGUUUGUUAGGAGGUGAAAAAAAUUUAAAUACGGUGAUACUACCCCCUUAGAUCAUUUAAUUUUCAGACCUUCCUCCUUUGCUGACUGCCUCUCCUGGAAAGGAUGUGCUGUGUUUUAGUUGUGUUUCCUGAGCACCAGGUGUGGUCUGCCUGGCUUGCCUCAGGCAGGGGUCCCUUCCCCUUCCUUCCCUUGGUUUGGUCCUUAAUGGGUAGAGGCCCUUCCCUGUCCUUGGACCCAUGUCACAUUCUUGGCUGGUAUUGAUCUUGUGGUCGGCCUAAAACACACAUCUGUUUCCAACAGGACACCUGCCAGCCAAGCCUUGUUUUCCUCAGUGUGUCAUUUUAUCAUUGAUCGAGUGAACCUAGAAUCAGUCCUUUAUAUUUAUCUCUGUGGUAUCUCAUUAUAUAAAAAACCUGCAGGGGCAACUUGAUUUAUUAGCAAACAAAUUUGCAUUUGUGACGUCUCUGUUUCUUAAUGCUCCUUGAAGCAGUGUUUUCUACAGUGUGGGGCUACCCAUUAUACGUGAGGGAUUGGCAUUGAAUCUUGCAGUGAGGUGGUCACUUCUUGUAAGUGGGUGUGAUGAGGUUGAGACUGUCUCAUUUGGUGUACAUGGGUCUGUAGUAUCUUUAAGCCUUGCUGAUCCACCUGUUCAGAAAAGGGAGACAGUGAGAUGGAGAGAAUGCCAAUCUUGGACCUUCUGCAAAUGACAGUUUUUAGCUAGAAAUUAAUAACAUUCUUUUAUUUACAUUGUAUUUUUUAGGGCUUCCUUUUAGUUAGAGUAGGUGAUAUUGAUUUUCAUUUCACAAUAAUGAAAUAAAAUUAGAUCUGUUCAUGUUACAAUAUGUCAUUUAAGCAAAUAUGCAUAAAUGAUAGGUGUUUUUCAAGUAUGUCACAUUAUAAAGUUGGCUUUUCAAUGUCUAAAGUUUGGUUAAUAUUUGUCUAAUGCUGCCGGGUCAGAAAUAGACAUAAAUCUUUUUACUAGCCGAGGUCAAAAGAUAAGUAACAACAUUUUAAAAUCUAAAAAUAUCUCACUGUAAUCAUGUAGUUGGAGCAGUGGUUAAGAGCAUAAACUUUGGAGCCAAACUCUUGAUUCGAAUCUC